rnacentral:rRNA from 1 species
UGGGAACGUGCCUAUCAGUUCGGAACAACCCAGGGAAACUUGUGCUAAUACCGGAUAAGCCCUUACGGGGAAAGAUUUAUCGCCAAAAGAUCGGCCCGCGUCUGAUUAGCUAGUUGGUGGGUAAUGGCCCACCAAGGCGACGAUCAGUAGCUGGUCUGAGAGGAUGAUCAGCCACAUUGGGACUGAGACACGGCCCAAACUCCUACGGGAGGCAG